rnacentral:rRNA from 1 species
CCCUUAGAUGUUCUGGGCAGCACGCGCGCUACAAUGGUCUUCGCAAACGGAUGCAUUCUCGAAGGAGAAUGCCAAUCUUGGAAUCUAUGCCUUGGUCGGGACAGUUGCUUGCAAUUUUUUCGACUCGAACCAGGAAUUCCUUGUAAUCGUGAUUCAUCACAUCACGAUGAAUACGUCCCUGCCCUUUGUACACACCGCCCGUCGCUCCUACCGAUCGAAGAGUUAGGUGAAUUGUUUUGAUCGAUAAGAUUUGACUAUGGUCAACUCUCGUUGUGAAAUUCUGUGAAUCUGACUGUUUAGAGGAAGGAAAAGUCGUAACA